AAAAUUGGAAAUUUUUGGUAAGUGGGAAGGUGUGGAAUAGGUAGGCAAAAGAUGAACAGUUGAAAGAUGGAACGAGUUGAAUCCGUUGAAAAAUGUGGAAAUUAGACGUAGGAAAACGAAAUCC